AUGGCGGCCGCCUGGCCGUCUGGUCCGUCUGCUCCGGAGGCCGUGACGGCCAGACUCGUUGGUGUCCUGUGGUUCGUCUCAGUCACUACAGGACCCUGGGGGGCUGUUGCCACCUCCGCCGGGGGCGAGGAGUCGCUUAAGUGCGAGGACCUCAAAGUGGGACAAUAUAUUUGUAAAGAUCCAAAAAUAAAUGACGCUACGCAAGAACCAGUUAACUGUACAAACUACACAGCUCAUGUUUCCUGUUUUCCAGCACCCAACAUAACUUGUAAGGAUUCCAGUGGCAAUGAAACACAUUUUACUGGGAACGAAGUUGGUUUUUUCAAGCCCAUAUCUUGCCGAAAUGUAAAUGGCUAUUCCUACAAAGUGGCAGUCGCAUUGUCUCUUUUUCUUGGAUGGUUGGGAGCAGAUCGAUUUUACCUUGGAUACCCUGCUUUGGGUUUGUUAAAGUUUUGCACUGUAGGGUUUUGUGGAAUUGGGAGCCUAAUUGAUUUCAUUCUUAUUUCAAUGCAGGUAAGUUUCUCAAUCUAGAAUGUAAACUACUUUUACAUUCAAAAUUGAGUUCUGUGAUCUCCUGUUCUAUUUAAAAUGUUUAGUAUACGAGGAAGCAGAGAAGAAUGGUUGUUUCCAUUUUUCUUCAUGUACUAGAUCUAAGGAAUCCUGGUCAUGUUUCCAACUAGCAUUUCUCAAACUGUGCUCUACCAGUUAGUAGUUCUCAAAGACAUAAGAAGUUCAUUAAAAAAUAUCCCGUGCUCAAAUAUGAUUUGUAAAUGUGAGUUCAAUUGAGUUAAAGAAGUUUCUUUACUGAAUAAGUUCUCAAAAUCUUUUUAAUAUAUGUUGUCUCUAAGAGGGAUUGUGGUUAUUUUUCAAACCCGUUUCUUUUCCUCAUAGUCACUGUCACCUUGUCAAUUACCAUAAAAGCAUUGAUAGGAUUCUGUUAUACAUAUGGGCAUUGUGGAAGCAGAGACAAGAUUUUCUUUUGCACUGGACAGGCACUCCAUACUAGUAUUGUGUUGUUUGCAAAUUACAGAAACUGAAAUCCAGCUAGCUUAAGCU
rnacentral:lncRNA from 1 species